rnacentral:rRNA from 1 species
UGAGGAAUAUUGGUCAAUGUGCGAGAGCCUGAACCAGCCAAGUAGCGUGCAGGAUGACGGCCCUAUGGGUUGUAAACUGCUUUUAUAUGGGAAUAAAGUGAGGGACGUGUCCCUUAUUGCAUGUACCAUACGAAUAAGGACCGGCUAAUUCCGUGCCAGCAGCCGCGGUAAUACGGAAGGUCCAGGCGUUAUCCGGAUUUAUUGGGUUUAAAGGGAGCGUAGGCUGUUUGUUAAGCGUGUUGUGAAAUGUAGGAGCUCAACUUUUAGAUUGCAGCGCGAACUGGCAGACUUGAGUGCGCACAACGUAGGCGGAAUUCAUGGUGUAGCGGUGAAAUGCUUAGAUAUCAUGACGAACUCCGAUUGCGAAGGCAGCUUACGGGAGCGCAACUGACGCUAAAGCUCGAAGGUGCGGGUAUCGAACAGG